rnacentral:misc_RNA from 1 species
UCGGGCUUCGGCUCGGCAGUGGCGGACGGGUGAGUAACGCGUAGGCAUCUAUCCUUGGGUGGGGGAUAACGCCGGGAAACUGGUGCUAAUACCGCAUGACGACUGAGGUCCAAAGGCGCAAGUCGCCUGGGGAGGAGCCUGCGUCCCAUUAGCUAGUUGGUAGGGUAAUGGCUCACCAAGGCGAGGGGAAGUAGCUGGUCUGAGAGGAUGAUCAGCCACACUGGGACUGAUUCUCGUCCCAGACGAAUACGCGAGGCAUCUAGUCGCUCUCGAUAAUUAACUCGAGCCAUCCGC